UUGUUGGUGAGGUAAAGGCUUACCAAGGCUUCGAUCAGUAGCUGGUCUGAGAGGACGACCAGCCACACUGGGACUGAGACACGGCCCAGACUCCUACGGGAGGCAGCAGUGGGGAAUUUUGGACAAUGGGGGAAACCCUGAUCCAGCCAUGCCGCGUGAGUGAAGAAGGCRUUCGUUGUAAAGCUCUUUCAGCCGGAACGAAACGGUUACGAUUAAUACCUGUAACUACUGACGGUACCGGAAGAAGAAGCACCGGCUAACUACGUGCCAGCAGCCGCGGUAAUACGUAGGGUGCGAGCGUUAAUCGGAAUUACUGGGCGUAAAGCGUGCGCAGGUGGUUUUGUAAGUCAGAUGUGAAAUCCCCGGGCUUAACCUGGGAACUGCGUUUGAAACUACAAGGCUAGAGUGUGGCAGAGGGGGGUGGAAUUCCGCGUGUAGCAGUGAAAUGCGUAGAGAUGUGGAGGAACACCGAUGGCGAAGGCAGCCCCCUGGAUCAACACUGACGCUCAGGCACGAAAGCAUGGGGAGCAAACAGGAUUAGAUACCCUGGUAGUCCAUGCCCUAAACGAUGUCAACUAGUUGUCGGGUCUUAACGGGCUUGGUAACGUAGCUAACGCGUGAAGUUGACCGCCUGGGGAGUACGAUCGCAAGAUUAAAACUCAAAGGAAUUGACGGGGACCCGCACAAGCGGUGGAUUAUGUGGAUUAAUUCGAUGCAACGCGAAAAACCUUACCUACCCUUGACAUGUAUUGGAGCCCGCAGAGAUGUGGGUGUGCCCGAAAGGGAACGAUAACACAGGUGCUGCAUGGCUGCCGUCAGCUCGUGUCGUGAGAUGUUGGGUUAAGUCCCGCAACGAGCGCAACCCUUGUCAUUAAUUGCCAUCAUUUAGUUGGGCACUUUAAUGAGACCGCCGG
rnacentral:rRNA from 1 species